rnacentral:rRNA from 1 species
CCUACGGGUGGCAGCAGCAAGGAAUCUUCCGCAAUGGGCGCAAGCCUGACGGAGCAACGCCGCGUGGGGGACGACACCCUUCGGGGCGUAAACCCCUUUUCUUGGGGAAGAAGGGCCUCGGCCUUGACGGUACCCGAGGAAGAAGGACCGGCUAACUACGUGCCAGCAGCCGCGGUAAUACGUAGGGUCCGAGCGUUGUCCGGAGUUACUGGGCGUAAAGGGCGCGCAGGCGGCGGCGUGGGUCCGGCGUGAAAGCCCCCGGCUCAACCGGGGAGGGUCGUCGGGGACCGCGCCGCUUGAGGGCGGCAGGGGCCGGUGGAAUGCCUGGUGUAGUGGUGAAAUGCGUAGAGAUCAGGCGGAACACCCGUGGCGAAGGCGGCCGGCUGGGCCGUCCCUGACGCUGAGGCGCGAAGGCGUGGGGAGCGAACGGGAUUAGAUAC